rnacentral:rRNA from 1 species
CCUACGGGGGGCAGCAGUGAGGAAUAUUGGUCAAUGGACGAGAGUCUGAACCAGCCAAGUAGCGUGAAGGAUGACUGCCCUAUGGGUUGUAAACUUCUUUUAUAUGGGAAUAAAAUGUUCCACGUGUGGGAUUUUGUAUGUACCAUAUGACUAAGGAUCGGCUAACUCCGUGCCAGCAGCCGCGGUAAUACGGAGGAUCCGAGCGUUAUCCGGAUUUAUUGGGUUUAAAGGGAGCGUAGGUGGAUUGUUAAGUCAGUUGUGAAAGUUUGCGGCUCAACCGUAAAAUUGCAGUUGAAACUGGCAGUCUUGAGUACAGUAGAGGUGGGCGGAAUUCGUGGUGUAGCGGUGAAAUGCUUAGAUAUCACGAAGAACUCCGAUUGCGAAGGCAGUUCACUGGACUGCAACUGACACUGAGGCUCGAAAGUGUGGGUAUCAAACAGGAUUAGAUACCCCUGUAGUC